ACGCUGGCGGCACGCCUAACACAUGCAAGUCGAACGAAGUAGCAAUACUUAGUGGCAGACGGGUGAGUAACAUGUAGGUAUCUUCCCUUUGGCCUGGAAUAACACGAGGAAACUUGUGCUAAUACCGGAUAAGUCUUCACGGAGAAAGCUUUAUGCACCAUUGGAUGAGCCUGCACUUGAUUAGUUAGUUGGUAGGGUAAUGGCCUACCAAGACUUUGAUCAAUAGCUGAUUUGAGAGGAUGAUCAGCCACAUUGGGACUGAGACACGGCCCAAACUCCUACGGGAGGCAGCAGUGGGGAAUCUUGCACAAUGGAGGAAACUCUGAUGCAGCGAUGCCGCGUGAGUGAAGAAGGCCUUUGGGUUGUAAAGCUCUUUCGUCGGGGAAGAAAAUGACUGUACCCGAAUAAGAAGGUCCGGCUAACUUCGUGCCAGCAGCCGCGGUAAUACGAAGGGACCUAGCGUAGUUCGGAAUUACUGGGCUUAAAGAGUUCGUAGGUGGUUGAAAAAGUUGGUGGUGAAAUCCCAGAGCUUAACUCUGGAACUGCCAUCAAAACUUUUCAGCUAGAGUUUGAUAGAGGAAAGCAGAAUUUCUAGUGUAGAGGUGAAAUUCGUAGAUAUUAGAAAGAAUACCAAUUGCGAAGGCAGCUUUCUGGAUCAUUACUGACACUGAGGAACGAAAGCAUGGGUAGCGAAGAGGAUUAGAUACCCUCGUAGUCCAUGCCGUAAACGAUGUGUGUUAGACGUUGGAAAUUUAUUUUCAGUGUCGCAGCGAAAGCGAUAAACACACCGCCUGGGGAGUACGACC
rnacentral:rRNA from 1 species